rnacentral:lncRNA from 1 species
UAACCAAGCACGUUAAUCUUCGAAAACACAGCAAGUGACAUAGCGCGCGUACACCCGAGGGCUUCACCACUGAUGAUGCGAAGUGAUGUCGUGUCGCCCCGUGGCCUGUUUAGGUAACUUGUCAGGUUGUUGUGAGUAACAGCUGUGGCCUGUUUAAGGCCGCCCAUCAGAUUUCUGUGAGUAACGGCUGGCAGGUUCUAGAGUACUGCCAGCUCGUCCAUUAGGAUAGGCUUCCCAAGCCCAUAAAAGGCUCUGCUGUUUAUCGGUAACAGUACCUCAGAUUCCAUACGCCCAGGCAAGGGGCUAUCGGUGGUAGGUCGCGGACCUCCCGAAUACGUGUAACGGCUAAUAAAUCUUAGUCGUUUCUGCUAGGUCCCAGUGAGAUAGCGUCUCACCAACAACCACAAGCAGGUCGCGUUCAGCUGGGAAGCCAUGGUACUGGUGAGACCGAGUUGAAGGCGUUUGAGCGAAGCGAUACGACUAGGCGGCAUUCCCAAAGCCGCUGGGUCAAUGUGCAGGUAUCGAGGGCACGUGAUCAUCUUCCACACAUAUCAUCAUCGCUAUUGUGCGGCCGUGCUCUUUACUUGUUAGCCGCUUGGCCGGUAGGUUCACAUCCUUUCCCAGGGCAAGGAGCAGCUGCCUUUUUACAUAGGUCCGCCUUGCUUUGCCUCCCACCGCCCCGUCUGCACUGCCCACAUGGCCAUAUGCUUGCUGCUUCUCACAAACCCUGGUCUGGAUGCUGCUGUACGGCAGCAUCAUGACGAAAAUGAAUGAAUGGCCUCAAGCGCUGCCUGCCUUGGGACAGCUGUGACGUGUGAGUGGGCAGGCGCGCGUGGGCACCUGCUCUGACAAUGUGUGUACGGUGGGAUCUGGCAGUGUUUCCAAAGGCCGGCGGCGGCGGUGGAUCCGCCUUGGGACCGGUGGCGGUGGAUGAUGCAACGGCCACCUGGAUGGAUACGGUGGCGAACCUUUUGGUCCGGACGUUUGUGGGUUGGAGGCCCACAGCGAUCACUGUAUGUCAUGCGGUAAGUUACAAGUUACAAGUGCCGCACGAGUGGGGGGGGGUCCGUCAAAUCCGGGAGGCCAUGGACUAUAUAUAAUGAAAGUUGAUUACAUCGUACAACCGACGGCGGUUUGGGUCCUGCCAACUAGACCCCUCCUCAUCCAGUCACCCGACAUCCGUAGAGACAGAUCAGCCAUUACCACCAUCUCAGCAUGCGAAACUCAGUCCAUCAACUAGACCUCAUCUCCACACCUCAGCAGCGUUAGUAAUCCUAGACCUCCCGAACAAUGUCAGGGGUCUGACCAGGAAUCGGACCCGGAACCUUCAUAUUCACAAAGGUGCCACCAGACUAGACCAAAAAUUUGAUACCAUUCGUCAAUUUGUGCAAGCUUUUUAACUUCAUAUAAUCAAUACUGGUUGUGGGUCGCCGCGACUGGUUUUCGAAUGGAGUUUUUCCAUUGGCAGGUGAAUACGUUGGUAGUUAGCCUUGACCGCCGCGAUCACGACGGUUGCCGUACAACAGACCUCCCAUCUCGUGGUGAGGGUGCGGUUCCACUUCACAGGCCGUGUUGCCGAGGGGAGGCGCGAGAACUCUCCUAGCCGCUGUGCUUCUUUCUUCGUGCACGUGUAAAAGCUCGCUGGCAGUGACGAACAAGGACUUUGCGUGACGAACAAGUCCGUAGCAUGCCUUGUGGGAGGUGGUGGAAGGUGUGGUGUCAAAGGCUGCGCCCACAUUAUGACACCUGAGAGGCAGCAGGGUCACACAUGUAGCCACGUGAAGUAGAUUCAGGGAGUUGACGUUGCUCCUGGGACUGCGGGUCAUGUGCGGUCAUGAGAAGCGAGGGUUCUUGCAAUUGGCCUCGAAGCAGACCUGAGGGGGUUUAGCACGUGCAUGGGUUGCCAUGGUUUCAUUGGGGGUCGUUGGAACCCCAAGUCCUCUCGCGUGGCGCGGUCAAGCAAGGGGCAUCGCGUACUCCGCAUCAAAAAGGACUGCCUCGUCCUUUGAUAACGGACCGUUGCCUACAACCUUGAAGCAGCAGGUCGCAAGCCCCAGUGGGCCCGGUGGCUGACGGCAUUGUUUCCUCGAAUCCUUAACGGACUCAACCCGGCAGCUGAAGGAGAGUGAGGCUGCUGCGUGGCAUAUCUUUGCAACCAAGAGCUUGCAAGGAAGCGGCAUCAGCAAUCGCCGCAGCAAUGGGAGAGCUCCCACGGUGGCGGGAGCGGCUCGGGAUCAAGCAGGCUGGUUGAUUAAGACCGACAUGUGGAGCGUGUCUAUUGGUGGAAAUGAGCUACCUGGUUGCUUAGGGGUGGUAGUAUGUGCUGUGUGUAUAGGUUUGCAGGAGGUCGACAUAGUGUGCCUAUAUUCCCUGUGCUUCGUAUUGGGGGCAAACUUAUUUGCAGACCUUGCGCUGUGCGGUGGUCCGACAAGCGAAGUUAGCUUGUGGUGACGCGCAAGCAUCACGCCAUAACUCCCGUGCCACUCUUCGUCGGCCCCAUCUUGGCCCCAUGCCCGUCCUGCUGGAUCUGAACGGCACCCUGUUGGGUAGCAUUGGUUUAUCCCCAUGUGUAAGUACGACGUACGAGAUGCAGUACGCCAAAUAAGAUGCCAGCUCGAGCCAGGUCCGACAGAUGCCUGGUGAGAGCAGGGAGGUCGGCAAACGUGGAA